AUCUGCCUGGUAGUGGGGGACAACGUUUCGAAAGGAACGCUAAUACCGCAUACGUCCUACGGGAGAAAGCAGGGGACCUUCGGGCCUUGCGCUAUCAGAUGAGCCUAGGUCGGAUUAGCUAGUUGGUGAGGUAAUGGCUCACCAAGGCGACGAUCCGUAACUGGUCUGAGAGGAUGAUCAGUCACACUGGAACUGAGACACGGUCCAGACUCCUACGGGAGGCAGCAGUGGGGAAUAUUGGACAAUGGGCGAAAGCCUGAUCCAGCCAUGCCGCGUGUGUGAAGAAGGUCUUCGGAUUGUAAAGCACUUUAAGUUGGGAGGAAGGGCAUUAACCUAAUACGUUAGUGUUUUGACGUUACCGACAGAAUAAGCACCGGCUAACUCUGUGCCAGCAGCCGCGGUAAUACAGAGGGUGCAAGCGUUAAUCGGAAUUACUGGGCGUAAAGCGCGCGUAGGUGGUUUGUUAAGUUGGAUGUGAAAGCCCCGGGCUCAACCUGGGAACUGCAUCCAAAACUGGCAAGCUAGAGUACGGUAGAGGGUGGUGGAAUUUCCUGUGUAGCGGUGAAAUGCGUAGAUAUAGGAAGGAACACCAGUGGCGAAGGCGACCACCUGGACUGAUACUGACACUGAGGUGCGAAAGCGUGGGGAGCAAACAGGAUUAGAUACCCUGGUAGUCCACGCCGUAAACGAUGUCAACUAGCCGUUGGAAUCCUUGAGAUUUUAGUGGCGCAGCUAACGCAUUAAGUUGACCGCCUGGGGAGUACGGCCGCAAGGUUAAAACUCAA
rnacentral:rRNA from 1 species